GUGGGGAAUAUUGGACAAUGGGCGAAAGCCUGAUCCAGCCAUGCCGCGUGUGUGAAGAAGGUCUUCGGAUUGUAAAGCACUUUAAGUUGGGAGGAAGGGCAGUAAGUUAAUACCUUGCUGUUUUGACGUUACCGACAGAAUAAGCACCGGCUAACUUCGUGCCAGCAGCCGCGGUAAUACGAAGGGUGCAAGCGUUAAUCGGAAUUACUGGUCGUAAAGCGCGCGUAGGUGGUUCAGUAAGUUGGAAGUGAAAUCCCCGGGCUCAACCUGGGAACUGCUUUCAAAACUGCUGAGCUAGAGUACGGUAGAGGGUGGUGGAAUUUCCUGUGUAGCGGUGAAAUGCGUAGAUAUAGGAAGGAACACCAGUGGCGAAGGCGACCACCUGGACUGAUACUGACACUGAGGUGCGAAAGCGUGGGGAGCAAACAGGAUUAGAAACCCGGGUAGUCC
rnacentral:rRNA from 1 species